GACGAACGCUGGCGGCGUGCCUAAUACAUGCAAGUAGAACGCUGAAGAGAGGAGCUUGCUCUUCUUGGAUGAGUUGCGAACGGGUGAGUAACGCGUAGGUAACCUGCCUUGUAGCGGGGGAUAACUAUUGGAAACGAUAGCUAAUACCGCAUAACAAUGGAUGACACAUGUCAUUUAUUUGAAAGGGGCAAUUGCUCCACUACAAGAUGGACCUGCGUUGUAUUAGCUAGUAGGUGAGGUAACGGCUCACCUAGGCGACGAUACAUAGCCGACCUGAGAGGGGGAUCGGCCAACCGGGGACUGGGCCCCGCCCCAGACUCCUAAGGGAGGCAGCAGUAGGGAAUUUUCGGCAAUGGGGGCAACCCUGACCGAGCAACGCCGCGGGAGUGAAGAAGGUUUUCGGAUCGAAAAGCCUUGUUGUAAGUCAAGAACGAGUGGGAGGGUGGAAAGUUCACACUGUGACGGUAGCUUACCAGAAAGGGACGGCUAACUACGU
rnacentral:rRNA from 1 species